GCCAGAGGGAUCGCAAUUUUUGUAGAGUUUUGUUAGAUAAUUUUUAGAUAGGUAUCAAUUGAGUGUUUGCGAGGAUGCUGCACAGUUAGAAGUGAGGCUAUGUAGAAUAAGUAGUUAUUUUCAGAAUAUAGAUACCUAGUGUAUAGUGUAAACAGGGAUAGAUAACUGCUGAAAAGGUGGUUCAGUAGGUAGAAUGGAUGAAUAGUCAGGAAAAGUAGUUAUCAUCUAUAGUAUAGGAGUUGAUAUCUCGGGGUAGUAUAAGGAGGAUGGGAGAGGGGAAGAAAAGGCCAGACUAUGAGAGUUGUGAGCCGGGUUCUGUGUGAAGAAUUCCAGUGAUUGGAAUGAAGGUAAUUGUGUGCUGAAAGCUGUGAGGGUGCAGUAUUACAGUUGGAGAUUAUGAGGGUGAAUAUAUUGGUAGAAAUAGCAGUUAUUGGUAUGACUGAAUUACUGUAAGGAAGAGACCGAUAAGGUGAAGGAAGAGAUUAUAGUUUCCUUGUGUGUUCAAAUAUUGGAAAUAGAGAUGAUACAUUCAAGAGGUAAUUGAUUGUGUGACCCUAACGUGAACGCUUAAGUAACUAGUCAUUCUCCGUAUUUGAAUCUCCCUAUACGGGUUUAUGCUGGGAGGUUUCUUCCGGAAUAAGUAAAACGAGCAAUCACAAAUCUUUAUGUAAUAAUUCAUAUAAUAGAUCUGCUAUGUGAGCAUAAUAAAGAAUCCAAAUAUAAUAAAAUACACAAACUCCUAAAAACCUAUAUACUUCUAUUAAAGAAUCACAUAUAUCCUUCAUCCUUUUAAUUGCAUCAAUUUUACUUGGAUCUGAUUUUUUCCUAUAAAAUCCACACAUGUGCCAAAUAAUGAUAAUCUCUUAUAUUCCAAAUAUAGAUUUUGCUUCUAAAAGUAUAAAAUGAACUUCUUCAAGUUGAGUUUAAUUUUUUUCACAAUCUUAUAUAUGAUCAACAACAUACUUACAAUAUCUCUUCUCAUCUAAGGUCUCAUCAUUUUUUUCUUCUUUACAUCCUUUGAUAGAAACAUCAUCUAAAAAAGACAUAGUUUUUUCAAGAAUGAAGUCCUUCAAUACCUUGUUCAUACCAUUCAUCAUAUGUGCAAUUGAAUUAGUAGCACAUUGUUAAAGAGUUUACAUUUUAAGUAGUCUAAGUGGCAUUCUCAUUGUUAUUAAAUCUCUACUUUUAUGUAUAAGUUGAAAUUGAUCAUAACUUGAACAUAAUCAUCCAUUGAAUAAAUUGCCCUUUCUGCAAAUGCUUCUACAAACUCAUCUACUGAAGAUCCUAUAUCUACAUUUCUAAUAGUUACUACAUUUAUUAGCUCCAUAUCUUGAAUAAAGUGUAAUGAUCUAAUUUUCUUAGGCACAAUAAACCAACAAUUAGAAUAUGGAGCAAAAAAAGGCUCUAAAAUCUUCAU
rnacentral:lncRNA from 1 species